AAAAUAGGCAGAGAUAAUACUCAAACCAUGAGUUUUACUCCCACGCGAUUGGCGCCACUCGUCUCUACUCUCCAUCUCGCCAUCUUCCACCACUAACCACCGGCCUCCUACAUUCAAGCCCUAAACGCAAGUCACGCAACACCUUCGAGCCCUAGACGCGGCACCUUCGACCCCUUGAACUUCGCAAGACGCGACAAUCGGCAGCAGUCCUUUGAGUCUACAUUUCCACCAAUGAUUCGAUGACAGAAGAAGAAGAAGGUGAAGCCCCUUGAUUCUGAUUCCUAAAUCGCACUCAAGUUCUAUCUGAAAAUUAAUUUUCUUGUUCAUUCUGUGAGUCCCAUUUAAAAGGGCAAGUUUUUGGGUUCUUGAAUUUUCUUUUUCUAGCUCCUAAUUUUUUGCGAGAUUUUGUCAAUCAAUCAAUGAUUUAUUGGUUGUAACUGAGUUAGCUUUGAAAAUAUUCUUUCACUAUUGUUUCUGUUUUGUUCAUUUCUUAGAAUUAGCUAUGAAAGAGCACUAUUUAUUUGGACAUGAAAUCCUGAAUUUGUAGUUGUGUUGAGGAUGAAUGGAUGAUAAAUUAGGGGCACCAUUCGGGAAAUUUGGAGCGAGGAAUUCUAGCCUAGGAGCUGGCAAAUUACCCGACUGUGUUGGCUUUUUAGCUAUGGUCACUACAUAAUAAAAUAUUAUCUAUGUCGAUCGGAUAGUUGGUUGUGCAACUAACCAGAUACGAUUUCAUUAAAAUUAUAAUUUUAAUGCUGGUUUUGGUGUUUUACCUACAGUAUGAAGGUUGAAGGAUUGAGCUUGAGUACUGUGGAAUGGCUUGUGCUUCUAACAUAAAACUUAGCCUUUGGGAUUGUAUAUGCAAUACAUAUCACAAAGUAUCACAUCUGGUUUUGACUUGUCAUUGGACUACUACUACUCUGUUCUGUAAAACCCUUCAUUAUUCUGAUAUGUACUCAAUAAUAGUUUCCCCAUAGAGAAAGGAGCGAUCAUAUGACUUGUCAUGGUUGUAGGAAUGAUCAUAUGACUUGUCAAUUACUAUAUUAAUGAUUUAGAGAAGAUUGUUUUGGGAACUCAAAUAUGUCUCUAUUAGAGAGAGUAAAUGGUAGUAAUUUAAAAGUGCUGGCACACAGGGAAACUAUCUGCCACUCCAUGUUAACUUUCCUCUUGAUGAAAUAUAUUGGAAUCUUACCCUUGUUCUAUCUUAUUGUUCCUCGUUUGCACGAGUGACUCUUUUGAUGUCUUAUCUUAGAUGGAAAAGGAAGUAGUAGUCUCAAUAAAAGUCAGUUCUAUUUUGAUGAAACACUCUUCUAUUUCCCCUUUUCUAGUGCUUUUUUCUUCUCUUUUUACCUGUAGCAGUUGCCUGUAAAAUUGUAGCUUUUGAUGGUCAUUUUUUGCAUUCAUGUUCAUAGCAUGUGAUGUAAUUUAAUUUGUGCUAUUGUGUUGUGCUGUUCAAAAAUGUUGAUAGUGUUUACAUUGUCUUAUUUUCUGUUUUGCUUAAUGUUUUCAGAUGUUCAAGGAUUAUUAUGAAUUCCAAUAAUUUAUUGUCGAAUCAUUUUUUUUUUCAGAAGGUCAUGUUUGUAAUGUCCAGCUUCCUCUUCUUUUUGGUUUACCAAUGAGCAAUAUCUUUUCCUCUGUGCCAUUUUUUCAUUCUCUUUUCUCGUGAGCGUUUACUCAUGGCCUUUUGCGUUACUACAUAAAAAAAUUAAAAAAAAAAUAAUAAUUUGAGGGUUUGUUUAGUAAACAAUAAUUUCCAAGUUGAUGUUGGCUUAUGUUACUUGUGCAUUUAACUUAUAAAAUUCCUUUUAUAUUUAUUUCUAACUUUACAAAUGGGUUCAUUCUUAGUGGUUCUCAAGAUAUGGGGACUAUACAAGUCUGAUUGUUGCAUCUAUAUUAUAUCAUGUUUAUCAGACUAUAAUUUCGAGAAUCGCGUGCAAGAAAAAAUAAUAAGGGAGAACUUACAAGAAAGCUGCUCAGGUAAUUGGUUGCAAGCAUGGUUAAGAAAAUUGAUCUAUUCUGUUGCAACUGGAUUGAUGGAUCCGGUUCAACUACAGUGGCCGACAGGUAGGAAUGAUGCAAUUUGCAAAUUACAUGGUGCAAUUUGGAUUGUCAACUCAAAUUUUUGUAGGUAGUGAUUGUUCUUUUUUUUUUUUUUUUGGUAUAUUAUUUGUGGAAGAGGUGAUUAAAUUUUUGUACGGAGGCAUUUUUGUAUAUUAUUUUUGUAGGUAGUGAUUGUCCUAUUUUUUUUAUUUAUUUUUUAGUUAAGUGGUGUUGUAUCAUGUUCAAG
rnacentral:lncRNA from 1 species